CCUACGGGAGACUGCAGUGAGGAAUAUUGGGCAAUGGGCGUAAGCCUGAACCAGCCAAGCCGCGUGAGGGAUGAAGGUUCUAUGGAUCGUAAACCUCUUUUAUAAGGGAAUAAAGUGCGGGACGUGUUCAGUAGUGUAUGUACCUUAUGAAUAAAGAACGGCUAACUCCGUGCCAGCAGCCGCGGUAAUACGGAGGAUCCGAGCUUUAUCCGGAUUUAUUGGGUUUAAAGGGUGCGUAGGCGGCCUGUUAAGUCAGCGGUGAAAGUCCGUGGCUCAACCAGAGAAUUGCCUUUGAAACUGGCAGGCUUGAGUGUGUUAGAGGCAGGUGGAAUUCGUGGUGUAGCAGUGAAAUCCGUAGAUAUCUCGCGGAACAUCGAUUGCGAAGGCGGCCUUCCAGGCCAUAACUGACGCUGAUGCGCGAAAGCGUGGGUAGCAAACAGGAUUAGAUACCCUUGUAGUC
rnacentral:rRNA from 1 species